rnacentral:lncRNA from 1 species
AUCGGGUGGUUCUAGUCGGUGAGCCUGGGAAAACCGACCGAGUUCGUUGUGACCUCGUAAAACAACAAGUUGGGUUGUAAGCUUGUAAAACAACCGGCUGUAAUCCGAGGGGUUAUAGUGAAUUUCCAAGUGAGACUUGGGGAGUGGACGUAGGAGCAAGGGUUAGCUCCGAACCACUAUAAAAACAUUGUGUUUGUGAUUGCUUGUGUCUCUC